CUCGAACGUUCGAACGAUCACAACGCGUGUAUCUCUUAAACGGGUUGUAAAAAAUUGUGUGUUCUGUGUAAAGUGUGCUUGAGACUUGAAUCUAGAGUGACUUAUUGGCACAAGAGCAACAAAAACAUCACCAGAAUAGCUGCAAAGUCGUCAAAUCAUGUUUUUGCCCGCGGCUUCGCCAGCUUGGAUUUCCGUCGGAAACAGUAAAUUGUCCAGGAUGAAAGGUAUCGUACUCCUAAAUUAGCGUGAAGAGGUAACAAACAAACAAACUUACUUUCGCUUUUAUAAUAUUAAUUAUGAUUUAGUAUUUUUUGUUGUCAUCCUUAAAUAUUAUACAAUAAAGUCCUCUGCGGCGUCUGUCUGUCUGUUCGCGAUAAACUCGAACUAUUGCACAGAUUUUCGUGUGUUUUUUACCAAUAGAUCGUUUAAUUCCUGAGGAAGGUUUAGAUAUAUUUAUAAGAUUUUUUGUCGAUUCU